CUCAGUGUGAUACGUGUGAUAUUUAGCAUAUUCACUGUAAUCAAAUCGAUCUCUGUGUGAUGAAAUCAAAUCAUCUAACUUCCUCUAACAUAGAUACAUUGGCAUAAAAGCUUACCGCAGUCUGAUUCCGAUUUGAUCGGUACACAAAUAUCACAAAAAGUCUCCUUUCGUUCGGUAACGUGUUCGCAUUCCAGACACGUAGUACGUAGCAAAGAAAUACCUUGGAAAUCUUCGAAAAUCGUAUCCUGAUUAGGACCACUGUAACGUUCCUCCAUGUACACGGAAUCCGUAUCGUCUUUGGCUACAUCGUCGUUUAUCAGGUACUUACGCAUAUCACCUUCUGUACAAAAAAAAAAAACACAUCGUCAAUUCAUAAAUACAACAUAACGUUUACAAAGUGCUAAAUGAUAUUUUACCGGAAUAAUUUUCUCGCAAACAAUUCGAGCCUUUUUCGUAAUUCAUAACUCGACUGAAUUUCAGCGAUUUUCGAACAUACGAUUUUAUUCCAGAACUGGUCGACGAAGAAGGGCAUUGUGGUGGCUGUCUUUCUAUGAUUGAAUUCUGAUUAUAAACGAUAUCGCAUGCUUCUCGAAUUAUAUCCAAUAGACAGACGAGUAAUUCGUGCGCGUCGUGUUGUUGAU